rnacentral:rRNA from 1 species
CACGCAUGCUACAAUGGCCGGUACAAAGGGCUGCGAUACCGCGAGGUGGAGCGAAUCCCAGAAGCCGGUCUCAGUUCGGAUUGGGGUCUGCAACUCGACCCCAUGAAGUCGGAGUCGCUAGUAAUCGCAGAUCAGCAACGCUGCGGUGAAUACGUUCCCGGGCCUU